AUGGCCAUGACAGAUAAAGGAGCCUCUGACCUUACCACCACGUGUAUCAUAAGGUUGGAGUUCCAGGAGGACCCCUUGGGGAGGGCAGACACUGAGAACACAGCCAAGAAAAGCUCAGAAAAUGUGGGUCAGUGGAGUGUGUGGUGGGGCCCCAGGAGUUCUGUGUGGGAGCAGCUUCUGGAAGGAAGGGCCCGCACCAGCUCCUCUGGGGUUUGCCACACUCAUGAUGCACUGUGUAGCAAUCAGCCCCAGUAUUUUGGAGAUGGCACUCGACUCUCCGUCCUAGAGGACCUGAAAAAGGUGUUCCCACCCAAGGUCGCUGUGUUUGAGCCAUCAGAAGCAGAGAUCUCCCACACCCAAAAGGCCACACUGGUGUGCCUGGCCACAGGCUUCUACCCCGACCAUAUAGAACUGAGCUGGUGGGUGAACGGGAAAGAGGUGCACAGUGGGGUCAGCACAGACCCACAGCCCCUCAAGGAGCAGCCAGCCUCACCGACUCCAGAUACUGCCUGAGCAGCCGCCUGAGGUCUCAGCGCCACCUUUCUGGCACAACCCCGCAACCACUUCCGCUGCUGCCAAGUCCAGUUCUUGCGGCUCGGAGGAUGACGAGUGGGACUGAGGACAGGACAAGCCCAUCACCUAAAAAGAUAAGUGCCGAGGCCUGGGGUAGAGCAGACUGUGGCUUCACCUCUGAGUCUUACCAGCAAGGGGUCCUGUCUGCCACCAUCCUCUAUGAGAUCUUGCUAGGGAAGGCCACCUUGUAUGCCGUGCUGGUCAGUGCCCUCGUGCUGAUGGCCAUGGUCAAGAGAAAGGGUUCCUGAGGCUAGCUCCAAAACCAUCCCGGGUCAUUCUUCAUCCUCACCCAGGAUUCUCCUGUACCUGCUCCCAAUCUGUGUUCCUAAAAGUGAUUCUCUCUCUGCUUCUCACCUCCUUAUGUGAAUACUUCCCUCUUUUUGCUAUUUCCCUGAAGAUUGAGCUCCCGACCCCCAAGUUUGAAAAAGACUAAACCAAUAAAAAAUGGUUGUGCUGAG